AUUACCGCGGCUGCUGGCACGUAGUUAGCCGUGGCUUAUUCAAGGGGUACCGUCAUUUAUUCUUCCCCCUUAAAAGAAGUUUACGACCCAGAGGGCCUUCAUCCUUCACGCGGCGUCGCUGGGUCACACUUUCGUGCAUUGCCCAAGAUUCUCGACUGCUGCCUCCCGUAGG
rnacentral:rRNA from 1 species